AGAGGCCUACGGGAGGCAGCAGUGAGGAAUAUUGGUCAAUGGCCGGAAGGCUGAACCAGCCAAGCCGCGUGAAGGACGAAGGUGCCAAGCAUUGUAAACUCCUUUUGUCAAGGGGCAAAAUCAGGCUCGAGAGCCUGACCGAGGGUACUUGAAGAAAAAGCAUCGGCUAACUCCGUGCCAGCAGCCGCGGUAAUACGGAGGAUGCGAGCGUUAUCCGGAUUUAUUGGGUUUAAAGGGUGCGUAGGCGGACUGUUAAGUCAGCGGUAAAAGCCCGAGGCUCAACCCCGGCGAGCCGAUGAAACUGG
rnacentral:rRNA from 1 species